UUUUAGUCCUUAUGGAGUUUUAAAAAUAAAUCUUUAUUAAAUGUAUCUUGAAUAUAUUCAAUUGUAAGAAUUCAUUCUAUUUUUAAACACACAUAUACACCAUCCCAAACUACACCUCGGUUUAAAAAGAGGCAUACAAUAAUAUUUGGGACAAUCAGAAUCUUCAACACAUUUAACAGCAGCUGUAAUGAAAAAAGAAAAUAAAGUAAUAUAACUAUAAUGUGAUAAAAUAUUGUGUCGGAGGUAAAUAAGAAAAUUAAAAUAAAUAAAUAAAUAAAAGUUACCGUUAACGAUCAUUGCAAGGAGAAAUUGAAAAAGAAAGAUAAUCAUAACACAGACAAAUUUAACAAUUUGAUCCAUAUUUUCCCCUUUUACAUAUAUAAAGUAGAAGAAUUUUACCACUUUAUAAUUUAUAAAGUUUAUGUAC
rnacentral:lncRNA from 1 species